GAUCAUGGCUCAGGACGAACGCUAGCGGCGGGCUUAAUACAUGCAAGUUUAGGGGUUCAGCAAUGGACACCGGCGGACGGGUGCGUAACACGUAUGCAACCUGCCCUUUACUGGAGGAUACUCCGGAGAAAUUCGGCACAACACUCCAUAUACUCAUACUUUCGCAUGGGAGAAUGAGGAAAGGUUACGGUAAAGGAUGGGCAUGCGUCUGAUUAGCUAGUUGGCGAGGUAACGGCUCACCAAGGCGACGAUCAGUAGCUGGUCUGAGAGGAUGAUCAGCCACACUGGCACUGAGAUACGGGCCAGACUCCUACGGGAGGCAGCAGUAGGGAAUAUUGGUCAAUGGGCGAAAGCCUGAACCAGCCACGCCGCGUGCAGGAAGAAGGUCCUCUGGAUUGUAAACUGCUUUUGCCAAGGGAUAAAGAGAGGCUAUACGCCUAAAUGAAGGUACUUGGUGAAUAAGCCACGGCUAACUACGUG
rnacentral:rRNA from 1 species